rnacentral:rRNA from 1 species
CCUACGGGAGGCAGCAGUAGGGAAUCUUUCACAAUGGGCGAAAGCCUGAUGGAGCAACGCCGCGUGCAGGAUGAAGGCCUUCGGGUUGUAAACUGCUUUUAUAAGCGAGAAAUAUGAUGGUAACUUAUGAAUAAGGCUCGGCUGACUACGUUCCAGCAGCCGCGGUCAUACGUAGGAUCCGAGCAUUAUCCGGAGUGACUGGGUGUAAAGAGUUGCGUAGGUGGCAUAAUAAGUAGCUAGUGAAAUCUGGUGGCUCAACCAUUCAGACUAUUAGCUAAACUGUUAAGCUCGAGACCGUUAGGGGUAACUGGAAUUUCUAGUGUAGGAGUGAAAUCCGUAGAUAUUAGAAGGAACACCAAUAGCGUAGGCAGGUUGCUGGGACGGUUCUGACACUAAGGCACGAAAGCGUAGGGAGCAAACGGGAUUAGAUACCCCAGUAGUC